rnacentral:rRNA from 1 species
CAGUGGGAGCCUUGAUUUAUCAGGGUGACUGCGUACCUUUUGUAUAAUGGGUCAGCGACUUAUAUUCUGUAGCAAGGUUAACCGUAUAGGGGAGCCGCAGGGAAACCGAGUCUUAACUGGGCGUUAAGUUGCAGGGUAUAGACCCGAAACCCGGUGAUCUAGCCAUGGGCAGGUUGAAGGUUGGGUAACACUAACUGGAGGACCGAACCGACUAAUGUUGAAAAAUUAGCGGAUGACUUGUGGCUGGGGGUGAAAGGCCAAUCAAACCGGGAGAUAGCUGGUUCUCCCCGAAAGCUAUUUAGGUAGCGCCUCGUGAAUUCAUCUUCGGGGGUAGAGCACUGUUUCGGCUAGGGGGUCAUCCCGACUUACCAACCCGAUGCAAACUGCGAAUACCGAAGAAUGUUAUCACGGGAGACACACGGCGGGUGCUAACGUCCGUCGUGAAGAGGGAAACAACCCAGACCGCCAGCUAAGGUCCCCAAGUCAUGGUUAAGUGGGAAACGAAGUGGGAAGGCUCAGACAGCCAGGAUGUUGGCUUAGAAGCAGCCACCAUUUAAAGAAAGCGUAAUAGCUCACUGGUCGAGUCGGCCUGCGCGGAAGAUGUAACGGGGCUAAACCAUGCACCGAAGCUGCGGCAGCAACAUUUCGAUGUUGUUGGGUAGGGGAGCGUUCUGUAAGCCUGCGAAGGUGUGCUGUGAGGCAUGCUGGAGGUAUCAGAAGUGCGAAUGCUGACAUAAGUAACGAUAAAGCGGGUGAAAAACCCGCUCGCCGGAAGACCAAGGGUUCCUGUCCAACGUUAAUCGGGGCAGGGUGAGUCGACCCCUAAGGCGAGGCCGAAAGGCGUAGUCGAUGGGAAACGGGUUAAUAUUCCCGUACUCGGUGUUACUGCGAAGGGGGGACGGAGAAGGCUAGACCAGCCGGGCGACGGUUGUCCCGGUUCAAGCGUGUAGGUGGGAAGAAUUGGUAAAUCCGUUCUUCUGUGAACACUGAGGCGUGAUAACGAGGCACUACGGUGCUGAAGUGGUUGAUGCCCUGCUUCCAGGAAAAGCCUCUAAGCAUCAGGUAACAGUGAAUCGUACCCCAAACCGACACAGGUGGUCAGGUAGAGAAUACUCAGGCGCUUGAGAGAACUCGGGUGAAGGAACUAGGCAAAAUGGUGCCGUAACUUCGGGAGAAGGCACGCUGGCAUUAGGUGAAGGGACAUGCGCCCGGAGCCGAAGCCAGUCGCAGAUACCAGCUGGCUGCAACUGUUUAAUAAAAACACAGCACUGUGCAAACACGAAAGUGGACGUAUACGGUGUGACGCCUGCCCGGUGCUGGAAGGUUAAUUGAUGGGGUUAGCGGCAACGCGAAGCUCUUGAUCGAAGCCCCAGUAAACGGCGGCCGUAACUAUAACGGUCCUAAGGUAGCGAAAUUCCUUGUCGGGUAAGUUCCGACCUGCACGAAUGGCGUAAUGAUGGCCAGGCUGUCUCCACCCGAGACUCAGUGAAAUUGAACUCGCUGUGAAGAUGCAGUGUACCCGCGGCAAGACGGAAAGACCCCGUGAACCUUUACUAUAGCUUGACACUGAACCUUGAACCUUGAUGUGUAGGA